GAUGAACGCUGGCGGCGUGCCUAAUACAUGCAAGUCGAGCGAACAGACGAGGAGCUUGCUCCUCUGACGUUAGCGGCGGACGUGUGAGUAACACGUGGAUAACCUACCUAUAAGACUGGGAUAACUUCGGGAAACCGGAGCUAAUACCGGAUAAUAUAUUGAACCGCAUGGUUCAAUAGUGAAGGACGGUUUUGCUGUCACUUAUAGAUGGAUCCGCGCCGCAUUAGCUAGUUGGUAAGGUAACGGCUUACCAAGGCGACGAUGCGUAGCCGACCUGAGAGGGUGAUCGGCCACACUGGAACUGAGACACGGUCCAGACUCCUACGGGAGGCAGCAGUAGGGAAUCUUCCGCAAUGGGCGAAAGCCUGACGGAGCAACGCCGCGUGAGUGAUGAAGGUCUUCGGAUCGUAAAACUCUGUUAUUAGGGAAGAACAAAUGUGUAAGUAACUAUGCACGUCUUGACGGUACCUAAUCAGAAAGCCACGGCUAACUACGUG
rnacentral:rRNA from 1 species